UAGCUAGUUGGUGAGGUAACGGCUUACCAAGGCGACGAUCUGUAGCGGGUCUGAGAGGAUGAUCCGCCACACUGGAACUGAGACACGGUCCAGACUCCUACGGGAGGCAGCAGUGGGGAAUUUUGGACAAUGGGGGCAACCCUGAUCCAGCCAUGCCGCGUGAGUGAAGAAGGCCUUCGGGUUGUAAAGCUCUUUCGGCCGGGAAGAAAUCGCAUGGGCCAAUACCCUGUGUGGAUGACGGUACCGGAAUAAGAAGCACCGGCUAACUACGUGCCAGCAGCCGCGGUAAUACGUAGGGUGCGAGCGUUAAUCGGAAUUACUGGGCGUAAAGCGUGCGCAGGCGGUUUUGUAAGACAGGCGUGAAAUCCCCGGGCUCAACCUGGGAACUGCGCUUGUGACUGCAAGGCUAGAGUACGGCAGAGGGGGGUGGAAUUCCACGUGUAGCAGUGAAAUGCGUAGAGAUGUGGAGGAACACCAAUGGCGAAGGCAGCCCCCUGGGUCGAUACUGACGCUCAUGCACGAAAGCGUGGGUAGCAAACAGGAUUAGAUACCCUGGUAGUCCACGCCCUAAACUAUGUCAACUAGGUGUUGGGUGGGUAAAACCAUUUAGUACCGUAGCUAACGCGUGAAGUUGACCGCCUGGGGAGUACGGCCGCAAGGUUAAAACUCAAAGGAAUUGACGGGGACCCGCACAAGCGGUGGAUGAUGUGGAUUAAUUCGAUGCAACGCGAAAAACCUUACCUACCCUUGACAUGCCAGGAACUUGCCAGAGAUGGCUUGGUGCCCGAAAGGGAGCCUGGACACAGGUGCUGCAUGGCUGUCGUCAGCUCGUGUCGUGAGAUGUUGGGUUAAGUCCCGCAACGAGCGCAACCCUUGUCGUUAAUUGCCAUCAUUUAGUUGGGCACUUUAGCGAGACUGCCGGUGACAAACCGGAGGAAGGUGGGGAUGACGUCAAGUCCUCAUGGCCCUUAUGGGUAGGGCUUCACACGUCAUACAAUGGUCGGUACAAAGGGUCGCCAAGCCGCGAGGUGGAGCCAAUCCCAGAAAGCCGAUCGUAGUCCGGAUUGCAGGCUGCAACUCGCCUGCAUGAAGUCGGAAUCGCUAGUAAUCGUGGAUCAGCAUGUCACGGUGAAUACGUUCCCGGGUCUUGUACACACCGCCCGUCACACCAUGGGAGCGGGUUCCGCCAGAAGUAGGUAGCCUAACCGCAAGGAGGGCGCUUACCACGGCGGGGUUCGUGACUGGGGUGAAGUCGUAACAAGGUAGCCGUAGGGGAACCUGCGGCUG
rnacentral:rRNA from 1 species